UACGUAGGCAGCAAGCGUUGUUCGGAAUUACUGGGCGUAAAGAGUGUGUAGGCGGUGCUCUAAGUUCGGUGUGAAAUCUCCCGCUUAACUGGGAGGGUGCGCCGGAAACUGGAGUGCUCGAGCGUGGGAGAGGAAAGCGGAAUUCCUGGUGUAGCGGUGAAAUGCGUAGAUAUUAGGAGGAACACCUGCGGUGUAGACGGCUUUCUGGACCAUUGCUGACGCUGAGACACGAAAGCGUGGGUAGCAAACAGG
rnacentral:rRNA from 1 species